UUGGGAAGCGUGCACCUGCAAAAACGAAAAGUCCGCACUGACCGGAGGCGGCUCCGGCGGGGACCCUCCGACGGUCAAGUCAGAGAGGUGACUGGGCAACAGUGAAAUGUAGACACAGAGCUCUGAGAGAGAGAGAGGAGCGAGCCUGCGUUUUAGGGAGAGACGGAGCGGAUCCAUCCCUCGCACUGUUGCCUUCCCCGGUAUAUAUAGUAGAGCACGG
rnacentral:lncRNA from 1 species